rnacentral:lncRNA from 1 species
ACAAUUUGAUACUCCUCCUCUAUGUUUUAACCACGCAAUUUCAGGCCACUUCGGCCUUGGUCGGAGUGGUGGGCUGCUGCCCUCACAAGCAUUGUGAGGGCAGUGGUUCAAGCUCCCACAAAAGUAUUUGUGGGGACUAACGUGCUUAUUUGUUUAAUAUUUCAAAAAUUUCUUCUCCCUCGUGCAAUAUGAGUGGAGUAUGGACAUCCCUCUUCUGUAAGGGAUUAUUUGUCUGGGCAUGUACUUCACGGGAUUAUUUGUCUGGGCAUGUACUUCACAGAAUUCAAUGUAAUAAUAUAAGUCCCAAUCAUGUAUUUCUGAUUGUAAAUAUCAGUGUAAUAUAUCUGUUAUAAUAGCAGUUGUAAAUAUCUGUGUAAUGCAGUAAUAUGAUUUCUGUGUAAUGCAGUAAUAUGAUGAUUAAUCAGUAUUAAAAAAAAAACCACGCAAUUUCAGAUUCUAGGAUACUGGUGGAUUGGUGAGAAAGAUC